CUACGGGACGCACCAGUGGGGAAUCUUAGACAAUGGGGGAAACCCUGAUCUAGCCAUGCCGCGUGAGCGACGACGGCCCUAGGGUUGUAAAGCUCUUUCAGCAGGGAAGAUAAUGACGGUACCUGCAGAAGAAGUCCCGGCUAACUCCGUGCCAGCAGCUGCGGUAAUACGGAGGGGACUAGCGUUGUUCGGAAUUACUGGGCGUAAAGCGCGCGUAGGCGGAUUGUUAAGUCGGGGGUGAAAUCCCGGGGCUCAACCCCGGAACUGCCCUCGAUACUGGCAGUCUUGAGUUCGAGAGAGGUGAGUGGAAUUCCGAGUGUAGAGGUGAAAUUCGUAGAUAUUCGGAGGAACACCAGUGGCGAAGGCGGCUCACUGGCUCGAUACUGACGCUGAGGUGCGAAAGCGUGGGGAGCAAACAGGAUUAGAUACCCUCGUAGUC
rnacentral:rRNA from 1 species